rnacentral:rRNA from 1 species
GACGAACGCUGGCGGCGUGCUUAACACAUGCAAGUCGAACGAUGAAGGAGAGCUUGCUCUCCGGAUUAGUGGCGAACGGGUGAGUAACACGUGACUAACCUGCCCCUUUCUCUGGGAUAACGCUCCGAAAGGAGUGCUAAUACCGGAUACGAACUCUGAACACAUGUUCGGAGUUGGAAAGUUUUUCGGAAAGGGAUGGAGUCGCGGCCUAUCAGCUUGUUGGUGAGGUAACGGCACACCAAGGCGACGACGGGUAGCCGGCCUGAGAGGGCGACCGGACACACUGGGACUGAGACACGGCCCAGACUCCUACGGGAGGCAGCAGUGGGGAAUAUUGCACAAUGGGCGAAAGCCUGAUGCAGCGACGCCGCGUGAGGGAUGAAGGUCUUCGGAUUGUAAACCUCUUUCAGUAGGGACGAAGCGAAAGUGACGGUACCUAAAGAAGAAGCACCGGCUAACUACGUGCCAGCAGCCGCCGCCG